rnacentral:lncRNA from 1 species
CUUCACGCCAGAGCGGUACCUAUUGAUCUACUCACAUUAGCAUGUUUUCGAACUGCUAGGUUGGCAGGAGCUGGGGCUAACAGCGGGCGCUCAUUCCAACACUAGCUCCAUUCUACAACACUAACAUUCCAUACAACACUAGCUCCUUAUACAUUUUACUUACAUUUUCAGUACGGAAAAUAUGAAAAUAUUCUAUAAAGGAAUUUGGGAAUUUGCUAUUUUCCUCUUUUCUAAAUACAGUAGAGUCUCACUUAUCCAACAUUCGCUUAUCCAACGUUCUGGAUUAUCCAACACAUUUUUGUAGUCAAUGUUUUCAAUAUAUCAUAAUAUUUUGGUGCUAAAUUUGUAAAUAUAGUAAUUACAACAUAACAUUACUGCAUAUUGAACUACUUUUUCUGUCAAAUUUGUUGUAUAACAUGUUUUGGUGCUUAAUUUGUAAAAUCAUAACCUAUUUUGAUGUUUAAUAGGUUUUUUCUUAACCUCUCCUUAUUAUCCAACAUAUUCGGUUAUCCAACGUUCUGCCGGCCCGUUUAUGUUGGAUAAGUGAGACUCUGCUGUACUGUGUGGGUGACCCAGAACAAAGAACUCCUGCCUUUCACAAUGGCCAUGUGGCUGGAACCGCAUAAGUUCCAGUUUUUCCUUGUUUGGCUUCCUUGCCCAUAGUUUGAGAGCAGUUACUUUUAUGUUAGUUUAUGAGGGCGGAGUUUAGGAAAACCCUUCCUGUUUUGUGUCAGCCAUUUUGUUUGCUCUUGUCUGAGGAAAAGGGAACCAUUUUGUGUCAGUAAGUUGGCCACGCCUCCUUUUGCCUGAGGUAAAAGAGCCGUUUUAGAUAAUAGAUCACCAGGGAAAUCUAGAAGCAGGACGUGUCUUCAGUUAGUCCUGGAGUUCCAGGCUUUGACAAGCAAUUUCAAGUCAAUAUUUUAACCAGUUACUUUCAAUCAGUUUAUACCAUUUAACGAGUCAAUACUACUUAACAACCAGUUACUUCAGACCAGUUGUACUAUAACAAGUAUACCAUCAAACUAGUUACUACUUUCAUACCAGUACCUUUCAUAAACCAACAGUUAAACAGCAACAGUUAAACUUGCAAGGCCAAGAACAAGCCAUGAGAGUCAAGACAAAGAUCCACCCAGAGGAAAGGUGUUCUUACCAUACAUCAAGGGAACCACUGACCGCAAAGGCAAACUGAAGAAGAAGCACAACCUACAAACUAUCUACAGAC